GGCCCACACAUCUUUCAACAAUGUCUGCAGGGUGCCAGGAGUUGAAACUCAUAAACUAUGCUGACAUCAGUACACUUUACUGCAGAAAUUCAUUGCAUCAGCUCCAAGAAUAGGCAAAGUAGCAGCAACACUUCAUUAAAGGACACUGGAGAGGGGUAAGCAUGCUAAGAAGUGAGAUGGAUUUAACCAGCAACUCACGGCAAAGGUUUGGGAAGGAGAAGGUAUAAAAGAUAUUCCUGGGUAAAUUAGGAAAAUUAGCACUUGGCCUAGAUUUUAAAAGUUACAAAACAGCUGAAAUAAUGAUAUUGUGUUUUGCUGGAGAACUUCAAAAUUCUUAGGAAAUUCAUGCUGGAAAUCUUAAGGGUGUCUUGCCUAACAAUAAGUGUCUGCAACUUUUUAUGACAAUGAAAAAGUGGGGAGGAAUGAAAAAAAAUGGCAAAAUGUUAACUGCUGCAUAUAGAUGAUGGGUACAUGAAUAUUCAUUAAAUUAUUUAAUUCUUUCAGCUUUUAAA